GCAUCAUAUAAAACUAUAAACUUUGCAUAUAAAAACUAUGAGCUUUGCAGACAUGUAACCUCAAUGAGUGAAGUCUACGCUAAUAUGAGUAGUUAAACUGGAUAGGCACAGAGUCACAUAUGCUUUAAUUACGGUAGAGAGUCUCACUGUUAUCUGCUGGCUCUGGGGUAUUAAAGGACCACUCUAGGCACCCACCCCACUUCAGCUUAAUGAAGUGGUCU